rnacentral:rRNA from 2 species
AACUGCAUUCGAAACUGGCAGGCUAGAGUCUUGUAGAGGGGGGUAGAAUUCCAGGUGUAGCGGUGAAAUGCGUAGAGAUCUGGAGGAAUACCGGUGGCGAAGGCGGCCCCCUGGACAAAGACUGACGCUCAGGUGCGAAAGCGUGGGGAGCAAACAGGAUUAGAUACCCUGGUAGUCCACGCCGUAAACGAUGUCGAUUUGGAGGUUGUGCCCUUGAGGCGUGGCUUCCGGAGCUAACGCGUUAAAUCGACCGCCUGGGGAGUACGGCCGCAAGGUUAAAACUCAAAUGAAUUGACGGGGGCCCGCACAAGCGGUGGAGCAUGUGGUUUAAUUCGAUGCAACGCGAAGAACCUUACCUG